UACGUAGGUGGCGAGCGUUGUCCGGAUUUACUGGGCGUAAAGAGCGCGCAGGCGGCUGGGCAAGUCCGAUGUGAAAGCUUCCGGCUUAACUGGAAAAUUGCAUCGGAAACUGCUCGGCUUGAAGGUGGGAGAGGGUAGCGGAAUUCCCGGUGUAGUGGUGAAAUGCUUAGAUAUCGUCAAGAACACCUAUUGCGAAGGCAGCUAACUAAGCUUUAACUGACGCUGAGGCACGAAAGUGUGGGGAACAAGCAGG
rnacentral:rRNA from 1 species